rnacentral:lncRNA from 1 species
GGCAGGACGGCUGGAAACUGCAAAAGUUCUACUGCCCAAAUAGUAAGGUUGGGGCCAGGAUGUUGGAAAAAAAAAUUUAAGCUUCUAAGGUGGUGGUGGUGGCUUUCUCCCACCUGACUUACAGUGGUGCAGUACUAAGUCUGUAGGAGAUGAUGCUCUCUCUGUGGAAUUUCUUGGAAAUUCUCUCCUUGCCCUAGAGACAGGUUACUUUCUUUUUUUUUUUCAGACCAUAGUUCCACCUGGAACUGUUUCCAGAAUGCCGUGCCUGAGAAGCUUCAUGGAUCCUAAGCCUGCCCCACAGGAAGACCAGCUGCUUUCAAAUGAGUCCAGAAUAGUAGUUGCCCACUCUUUUCACAGUCACCAUCAGAGAAGCAGCCCCUCCUGUGCGUUCCAGGGUCUCUGUCUAAACCCUAUAAGACAGAGAAUGAUUUUUAAGGAAUGGUUUCCAGAUUCUGGCUGUUCCAAGUGGCAACUUGUUUCAGCCUACCAUACAUGAUUAAUGAAGUCAUCACAUCACACAAUGUGUGAAGAGGUGAAUGAGAUAUCACUGGUUUGUACCACCCUUCUUCUCCCCUCUAUUUGUCCGCAUUAAGGUUGCCCAGCCCUAGCCCUCCUUAUGCUGCUCAGAUGGGCCUUUUCUGAGCUCUGGGAGAGCCUACAGCUACCUGCCACUUCUCUCCUGUCCUGUCCAAGCUCAUUUUGGCUACUCACUUCAGUUUUGGGCAACUCAUGG